CCUUAAUUAUUAAUAGAUAUAUUCUUUAAACUUGAAGAAUUUGGCGGUGGUUUAGUCUUGUUAGAGGAACCUGUUUUUGAAUCGAUAAACCGCGUAGAAUUUUACUUAUCUUAUUAGUUUGUAUACCGUCAUUAUCAGAUAAUUUUUAUAGAAGUAAUUAUUAAAAUUUAUAAAGGUAUAGUAGAAAAAAUUAGAUCAAGGUGCAGCCUAUAGGUAAGCUAAAAUGGGUUACAAUAAAAUUUAUUUAUAUGGAGUUAAUUAUAUGAAAGUUUAUAUUAUGAAGGUGGAUUUAAUUGUAGUAUAAAUUUAAUAUGUUUAUAAGAUAUAAGCUCUAAACCAU
rnacentral:rRNA from 1 species